rnacentral:lncRNA from 1 species
CUGCUGACUAGAUUUGGAAUUCAAUGGAUUAUACAUAAUAAAGAUUUGGUCUUGGUCAACCUAUUUAGAUUUAUUAUAAAUUCAAUGAGUUAAUUAAAUUACUAGCACAUGAAUUAACCCAAGUUUCCAAUUGGAUUCAGUGCAAAGGUGUUUGUGCUAAACCUAGACUGUUGCCUUGACCUAAUUAGAUUGGAUUUGAACCAUC